rnacentral:tRNA from 1 species
UCCCGUGUGGCUCAGUUGGUAGAGCUUGGUGUUUGCAAUGCCAGGGUUGUGGGUUCGAUUCCCACAGGGGAC